UCUUCAGCAAAUAUGCUAUUGAAAAAGUUUCGGCUCUCGUCACGCUCCUUGAAGCUCAAGAUGAGAUCAACAAUCAGUCCCUUGAAGAUUUUGAAGAACUUAUAAGCCGCCUCCACCACUUUUAGAUCGUCUAAGUCUCUUUCUUCCUUACGCACAGCAGUAGCCUCGGUUUUCCGUUCAGGUUCUGUUGAUUUCUUCUCUGGGAGUUCCGAAGAAUCUUCCUCCAUGUGCUUGACAUAAUUGCGACCAGGAUCUGGUUUUCUGAGCAUGGAAUCUUUGAAUUUAUCCUUGCUUGCAAAAUACAGGGAAGUAGUGCGCUCCAAAUAUUUGAUUAUCCCUGCUAGAAAUAGGAGCAAUGUUGGGAUCAUAACCCUGUUUCUGGGAAGUGUUUUAAUGAACACAUAACCAGUAACAACGGCCUGGGUUAUGAAUGCAAGCAAGUGCCUGAGCCACAACUGGUUAUCCUCAACAGAAAAAGCAGUGAUAGUGUCUGGGCCACCAAGAUGCACCAAGAGAAAAG
rnacentral:misc_RNA from 1 species